GAUCUUGGUGCCCCCAACCUCCUUGUCGCCGCCAUAAAUGCCUUUAAGAGACAGAGGACCUCCCUCAUUGUUGUCGCUGUGCUCUGAUCCCUGACCGCAUCGGCAGCCUCGGACGUGCCUGAUAGGUCCAUCCCCACCAUGGCCAUAGUUCCAACAUGAUGAGCUUGGUGAGGAGAAGCUCUCCGGCCUCGCUCGCCUCCUUGCAACUACCAUUAAGACCCGAAAGGAAUCCCUCAUGCAGGUGAUUCACUGGCCCACGCAACCUCCGCCGCUUACUUGGAUUUCCCCUUGCUGGUGUGAUGCGUGCGUUGUCGAGCCGGCAUCCAUGAUGCCCUGUUUAUGCCAUCGCUAUUGUUUCCCUUUCGGCAAAGGUGCCUCGAGUGUCAUUGGGAAGGUUUAUUCCUGUGUAUCCCGACAUCAUUGGAGUGGACUCCGUGCCGGGCAGGUCUCCAGCUGUGCAGCCAGUGGACAUAUUUAUUUUCGAUCUUGAAGGGUUGCGCUGGUGGUCACCUCGGACAAGGUCUCAAUUCACAGCCUCAACUUUCAUGAGUGUUGGAUUGGCCUCAUCUCGCAGGUGCUCCCUUGGUUGAUUCAGAGAUGACAUGAAAAUGCGUCAACAACACUUAGCAUGCAUAAUGCCAUGUCACAAUUGUUUUGCAAAAUAAUUUGUGUU
rnacentral:lncRNA from 1 species